rnacentral:lncRNA from 1 species
UGUGCUCCAUGACAUCGAGAGGUAGGAUGGCUGAUGCAUGACACCCAACGGACUUAGGCGAGCAAGGGAUUGCAACGUCCAAGUCACUACACUCCUCGACAUCAAUUUUCUGGCUAGGCUCCAAAGGGCCAGGCGCCAACAUAUCGUCCGCAUCAACAUCAUCAGCCAUGAAAACAACUGAGACGACAACGUCGCCCGUGGAAACCACUGACACAAUUGACUUAGGCACCUCCACUUGUUCACAUAACAUAGGCGAAGCAUGCCCCUCACCCGAGUUCACUAAUGAGUCCACCUCCAAGC